AACGAACGCUGGCGGCGUGCUUAACACAUGCAAGUCGAACGGAAAGGCCCUGCGUUUGUGGGGUGCUCGAGUGGCGAACGGGGGAGUAACACGUGAGUAACCUGCCCUUGACUUUGGGAUAAGUUCAGGAAACUGGGGCUACUACCGUAUAGCAUAUCCUGCUGCAUGGAGGGGGUUGGAACGUUUCGGCUGUUGUGGAUGGACUCGCGGCUUAUCAGCUUGUUGGUGGGGGAGUGGAUGACCCAGGCUUUGGAGGGUAGCCGGCACGAGAGGGGGGACGGCGUCAUGGGGACUGAGAGACGGCCCAGACGGCUACGGGAGGCAGUAGGGGGGAAUAUUGCCCAAUGGUACGAAGCCUGAUGCAGAAACGCCGCGGGCGGGAUGACGUCCUGCGGGGUGAAAACCGCUUUAGCCUGAGACGAAGCGUGAGUGACGGUAAUGGGUAAAGAAGCACCGGCUAACUACGUG
rnacentral:rRNA from 1 species